GCUAUAAUGUAUUCCCUAGUUUAUAUUCAAGUUGUUUCUAGUCUUUUUAUGAUUCAAAGCCCCAUCAGUUCCUAGAUUUGGUUCACUUAGUGGUUUUAUCAAGAUUGAGAUGAAUUAAACCGAUGACUUGAUCAGAUCUGGACCUUCACCCCUCGAGCAUACAAGAUAACUAAAAGUCCUUGAUCUUAAGGCAUAGAAAAGAACUUAAUGUAGACUUAACUCA
rnacentral:lncRNA from 1 species